ensembl:lncRNA
UUUCAGAAAUGUGUAUUGCCAUAAAACCUGCCCCAUUCAGUUCCUCUUACAUCAGAAUGGCUACCCAUGGUGCUUGGACAAAGUCACAUUCAAUGACCUCUGAUUACUGCAACAAUCUCCAUGUGACUAAGGACAAAUGGAAAAGAUGAGGCUGUUCUGUAACAAACCAGGGCUGACUUUAACCAAAGACCUGGGAUUGAGUCUGCUCUCACGAUAUUGGAUGUUGGUUUGCAUGGUUGUGAGGAAAGGAAUCUGAAAGAGAAACCCUAUAAAUGGCCAGCAUCAAAGACCACAGCCCCUCUCCACGGUCAAUCCGUGCAUUCAUAGAAUGGUGAUGUCUUGAGAGCCCAAUGGAAAUGGCCCAAAAUGCUGAGAGAGGUUUGGUUGUUAUCGCCGUUGCUCUGUGAGGAUUUAUCUAAAAUCUCUCACAUACCUUACUUGUGAGUUAUUUCUCAUUCUCACAAAAACUCUACAACUCCAGUAUUAUUUCUCAUUUUACAAUUGAGAAAACUGAGACUCAGAAGCUUUGCCCAGCAUCAGGAGCUUAUGGGAGGCCGCACAGAAUCCACGUUUUCCCACCUUCUGUACUUUAUGUAGUAACCUCUUAUUUUGACAGAAUUGUUCUGUUUGCUUAGCUUUUGACACCUGUAUUCCUCACACCUGUCUUAUGUGCCUGGAGAGAAAAAAGUUUAAGGAUUGCAGCUCAAACUACAGUGACUAGGGAGUAGAAAGAAGUCAUGUUUUUCUCCAAGCCAGACAAGAAAUCCUGCAAGAGCAUGAACAUCUCAGCUGUUCUCGGCCUGCAGUUGUCUUCUUUGAAGGUGCUAAUCCGCAGUGGCGCUCACAUUUGAUGUCGCACGGCCAGAGUCCAUUCCUCCCUGGAAGCCAGCAGGGUCACAGACUGCAGCUGUGCGGGCUCUCUGCUCCAUGCCAGGGAUCUAGGACUCCCUCCUGCACUCACCGGGGCUUCUCCUGCUGCGCAGCAAGGACAGCGAUGUCUGUGCUGGUCGCAGCAGGGUUCCAUCGCAAACCACAUGUCAGAGAGCGCCCAAAGCUAAAGCCAGAAUUACUGUGUCUUUCCUCAUCUGACCUGAGAUUAAAUCAUCUCUGCCCUCCUGGAUUUUUCCAAGAGCAAAAGAAUCCUUCCAGUAAUGGAAACGAUGAGGCUUGUUGGUGGAGAGCUCAUGUUGGUGUGUCUGCAAGGGACAAGCGGAGUGAGCUGUUUCUCCCGACCUCCUGUCCCCUACGGAGACUACUCCAGGGUCAACCCUCGGCCUGCAGCUCGCUGACCUGCCAAGGAGGGGGCAGGGAGGAGCAGAGAUCACAGAAUCUAGAAUCGAAAGGCAUGCUUUGAAUCUCACUUCUUCCUUUAAUCACUGUGUCUUCAGGCAAGCAAGUGAGCAAGCUGACCUUGCUGGUCUCACUUCCUGAAACGAUAAAGUGAGGAUAAUAAUCUCAAAAAUUUGAGUGAAGAUUUUAUACACAUAUAUAUACACAUAUAUCUAAAAAUAAAACAUCUUUCAAAAUCUUUCUCUCAAAUAAAUCACAUUAAAUCUGUAUCUGCGUGUAUAUACACAUAGCCAGUUCUGGUGGUCUCAUGGUUAAGAUUCAGUGCUCUCACUGCCACAGCCCGGGUUCUUUUCCCAUCUUUGGGUUGUCACACUGUGGCGGCUGCUUGUUGCUGUGAUGCUGAAAGCUCUGCCACUUGUAUUUCAAAUACCAGCAGGGUCACCCAUGGUGGACAGGUUUCAGUGGAGCUUCCAGACUAAGUCAGACUAGGAAGAAGGAACUGGCUGCUCACUUCUGAAAAAACUGGCCGUGAAAACCCUGUGAACAGCAGCAGAGCAUUGUCCAACACAGCUCCAGAAGCUGCGUGUGAGUUUGGCCUGAGAAAGGAGACAGGAUCAACGUCUUCCCUCUCUCCCCACUAUGAUGGGCUAAGCUGUGUCUGCCGACGUUCACGUGUUGAAGUCCUAACUCUCAGUGUGACUGCAUUUGGACAUGUCGCCUUUAGGGAGAUAAUGAAGGUUAAAUGAGGUCAUCAGGGUGGCUCCUGAUGUGAUAGGACUGGUGUCCUUACGAGAAGAGGAAGAGACUCCAGAGGCCACUCUCUCUCUCUCUGCACACACGGAGGCAAGAUCAGGUGAGGAGAUCUACACGCCAUCUACACGCCAAGGAGAGAGGUCUGAGGAGGAACCACCCUUGAUCUUGGACUUCCAGCCUCUAGAACUGUGAGGAAAUAAACAUCUGCUGCUGAAGCCGCCCAGACUGUGGUACUUUGUUAUGGCAGCCGAGCUGACUGAGACGCCCGCCUUGCCCUUCUCCCUGUCCUGCCUCCUUUCUACUCUUGCUUCUGGUUUCUCCAGGGAGGACAGGGGGAGGAGAAGAGACAAAGGUUGAAAAGUUUGACUUAAGUGACACGGUUGAAGCUCAUACCCCUUGGCUAUAGCAGGUGGCCACAUGUCCGAGAG